GAUGAACGCUGGCGGCGUGCUUAACACAUGCAAGUCGAACGAUGAAGCCCAGCUUGCUGGGUGGAUUAGUGGCGAACGGGUGAGUAACACGUGAGUAACCUGCCCUUAACUCUGGGAUAAGCCUGGGAAACUGGGUCUAAUACCGGAUAGGAGCGCCUACCGCAUGGUGGGUGUUGGAAAGAUUUAUCGGUUUUGGAUGGACUCGCGGCCUAUCAGCUUGUUGGUGAGGUAAAGGCUCACCAAGGCGACGACGGGUAGCCGGCCUGAGAGGGUGACCGGCCACACUGGGACUGAGACACGGCCCAGACUCCUACGGGAGGCAGCAGUGGGGAAUAUUGCACAAUGGGCGAAAGCCUGAUGCAGCGACGCCGCGUGAGGGAUGACGGCCUUCGGGUUGUAAACCUCUUUCAGUAGGGAAGAAGCGAAAGUGACGGUACCUGCAGAAGAAGCACCGGCUAACUACGUG
rnacentral:rRNA from 1 species